AUUAAAAUUAUUAUUAUUAAUCUUUUACAUGAAGGUACAGUAGAUUCAAGAUCAGAUGUUUACCGUGCCUACCAAAUCCUAAGAGCAGAAAAAGGAACUUCUAAUAGUUGACCAAUAUCAAUAUGAUAGAUUUUCACAAUAACAUAUUUCAAU